rnacentral:rRNA from 1 species
GAUGAACGCUGGCGGCGUGCCUAAUACAUGCAAGUCGAGCGAACAGACGAGGAGCUUGCUCCUCUGACGUUAGCGGCGGACGGGUGAGUAACACGUGGAUAACCUACCUAUAAGACUGGGAUAACUUCGGGAAACCGGAGCUAAUACCGGAUAAUAUAUUGAACCGCAUGGUUCAAUAGUGAAAGACGGUUUUGCUGUCACUUAUAGCUGGAUCCGCGCCGCAUUAGCUAGUUGGUAAGGUAACGGCUUAUCAAGGCAACGAUGCGUAGCCGACCUGAGAGGGUGAUCGGCCACACUGGAGCUGAGCCACGGUCCAGACUCCUACGGGAGGCAGCAGUAGGGAAUCUGCCGCAAUGGGCGAAAGCCUGACGGAGCAACGCCGCGUGAGUGAUGAAGGUCUUCGGAUCGUAAAACUCUGUUAUUAGGGAAGAACAAAUGUGUAAGUAACUAUGCACGUCUUGACGGUACCUAAUCAGAAAGCCACGGCUAACUACGUG